UAUAAGACGAGAAGACCCCAUGGAGCUUUAAACCCAACAACACCCGCCCCCCCUCCAAAUCCUAUUAUUUACCCGGNGAUUGUUUGUUUGGUUUUAGGUUGGGGUGACCGCGGAGUAUAAGAUAUCCUCCAUGAAAAAAAGCUAACUGCCCUUAUUAGAGAAAGACACUUCCAAAAAAUAAUAAAUUAAUUUUAAAUGAUCCGACAUUCGAUCAACGAACCAAGUUACCCUGGGGAUAACAGCGCAAUCCGUCCCGAGAGCCCCUAUCGACAGGCGGGUUUAC
rnacentral:rRNA from 1 species